UUAUUUGCCCCUCUGCUCAGUGCUGCUGGCAAUGGCGGCAGCGGGCGGCUACCUGAUGUGGAGAAACUGGCAGCUGAAGAACCAGAAGAGCAUGAACUUUGACAACCCCGUUUACCUGAAGACCACGGAGGAAGACCUCAACAUCGACAUCACCCGGCACGGUGCCAAUGUGGGCCACACCUACCCUGCGAUUUCGAUAGUGAGCACAGACGACGAUUUAUCAUGAUCGUUUUUGUUUUUACGGCAACCCGGAGCGUUGCGUGGUGCCACCUCGUUCCCAUGCGCCGCCGGUUGUCCGUAGCAGCAGCAGCAGCAGCCCUUACAGUACGACCACAUGCCUUCUGAAGUGCAUUAUGUUAUUAUCUGUGGAGAGGAUGACUUGAGGAAAUGUUAUUUAUUAUGUGAAUACUACAAUGAAUUAUGUGUCCAUAACUCUUUUCACUCAAUGCGUCCAAAGUGUUAAGGAUUUUUUUUUUUUUUUUUUUUUUUUUGGGUCCUGAAUUUUCUUGGGCCACGGCUUCCUGUCUUUUUUUUUUUUUUUUUUUUGCCCCAUCCUCUUAAAGGAGUCCGACAUGUUUUCACAACAGAGAGGAACGCUGUGAAUUUCCUCGGUUUGAUCACCUAACAGGGCUUUCUGUGUUCAAACUGAGGUGGAAAACUUACAAGAGGACACAGUAUUUCUCUCAACAAACAGAUCGACUCUGCUGGACAGGAUUUAAAACCAGAUCUGAGCUGUCAGGAUCUGACGUGACAGCGUGAGACUCCUUUUUUGACCAUAUUCUGAGAAGUGAGGCACUCGUGGGGAAUUUAAUCCAAACUUUAUUUCUUGCCCCUCUGACCCAACGGGCUCAGACGUGUGAAUAUUUAUGUACGAUCAUGUUUUGGGCAGUAAUAUCUAAGAUGUAACUUUUCUUUUAUUUGCUAAUUUUAAUUUUGUUAUUUUUAUGAUUUUGUCAAUGGUACCUCCUGGAGUGCAUUCUUACAAGCUGUUUUUUCAGCCAGUGUUCAUUACUAUUAUUAAUUAUUAUUAUUAUUAUUAGUAUUAUUAUUAUAGAAGCUAUGUAAGGAUCACCAUGGUUACAACAUUUGUAAACACUGUACAUAUUUACCCGUCAUCCCUCAAAGACAUGACCGUCAAUCAGGACUCUCUUCAAUGCACUUUGAUCAAAUGUUCCUUGUGUAAAUAAGAUUGUAUACAUUUGACUUGAAAUCAAUUUUUUGCUAUGGUUGGGCAUCAUACCAGGGUUAGAGUUCAGAUGUAUUUAACAAGAAAGAAAAAGCUGAAAAAAAUGGAGAAAAAAAAUUUCAACACAACUGAAUUUGGUAAAAACUAUUUUGUAUGUUUGUGUGCUGUUGCUGUGAACUUUUUCUAGCCUUGUACAGUGAGGGGGAAUACUACUAUUAAAACUUCAAAGCUCUGUAUCUGUGAAGAACCUGAUUUGAAAUUCACUUGAGAAUUAAAACCUAAUCCACAACAUUGUUCAAAA